CUUGUGUGCUGGAGAUGUGGCUGGGGGUUGUCUCACAGGGGGGAGGUGAUAAAAAGAUUAUAGGGUGGAGGAGCAGAGGCUGAGGAAGAAUUGGGACCUAGCUUGGCCUGGUGAGGAGCAGCCUGGGGAGGAUGGGAGAGGUCAGAUGGGUCUGUAGAAAAGGAAGAUUAGAAAAACUCAGCAACCCUUGGGGUUGGGACUGAGAGGACAAGUGAGAGGGAAAGAAG
rnacentral:lncRNA from 10 species